rnacentral:rRNA from 1 species
CGGUCCUACCUGAUCGAGGUCAGCUGAAGGCUUGUGGAGCGCGGAUCCGCCGGGCCUCCGAGAAGCGCAAAUGUGCUGCGCGAGGGGCCGGCACGACCGCCGCCAUGACUUUGAGGCGAGCCGCGCGCGAAAACGGCGGGACAGACGCCCAACACCAAGCUAGGUUGAGGUGAAAUGACGCUCGAACAGGCUGGCCAAAGGAUACCUAUGGCGAAUGUGCGUCAAAGUUCAUGAUCACUGAAUUCUGAUUCCACUACUUAUCGAUUCGUGCUUCUCUCGUGCCGAACCAAAGUCCUUGUGAAGUGGUAAUUAGGUUGUAUCAAAGUUUCCGAAAGAGGGGUUCUGGGUCCUGGCGGGGGACCCCCAGAACUUAAGGACCUAGGCGAGGGGGGGUAAGACGCAACCCCAAGGAUGUCCUCCGAGGUCCCACGAACCUGUAAUUUAAACAA